rnacentral:lncRNA from 1 species
UGACAUUGCUGUAAGUGUGGCGAUACGUAUUUCCAUGAAUUUUGGACGAUGGCACUUCUGUUUGAGGAGACGCAGGAAGACAGCCUUUGCUUCACUACCUGCAACUCUGCUGGUGCAGCGGUGUUCAGCAGCCCUGGGGAGCUGCAAAGGGAAAAGUCAUUCAUCUAGUUCUGAUCACAGGAGAAGCAGGUUUAGUCAAAAGCCCAAGGGACAAGCUUUCAACUGGCAUAGUGUUAUAAAAGAUAAAAAAGCAGACAUAUUUUCUAUGGAAAAACAAACUCAUCUACAGACAACAACAGGAGACCUAGCCUUCUUAUUUCCCCAAAAUCUGUUUAGCGCAGAAGCAUGUGAAGCAGUUUAUAGACAUCUCAUAAAGGACAGAUAUACUGAGAGAGAAAGCUCCUCUGUUUACAUUUCUGGCUUGAAGGGUAUUACUGCCAAUGCUACUUAGUGCUAUCUCCAGAUACUGUCAAUAUCCUGUAUCUAUCUGAGAGCCUUUUGAUCAUAAAGACAGAGGCAACAGACAGGACAUGGGCUUUAUGAUAGAGUGUGAAACUUGAUGCUACGUGGAAGUAGAGACCACCCAAACUUCAGUUCAGAGAGUUAGGCAGUAAUUACCCACCACCUUUAGAAACCAGGAACUGGUGGUUUUAAAAAUAACAACAAAAACAGAACAGAACAAAACAAAAACCAACCAAAAAAUUACCAACCAACAAAAAAUUUACCAACCAACAUCUCAGUCAACCAAUUCAGGAAAGUUAUACAGGUGACAUUAAUGAGCCACUGAAGGUGGCGUGCCCACUUGUUUGAUUUUGACCUAGGAGGAGUUUGCACUGUUCAUAUCAUCCCCUGCAGUUUGCAGGCACCUCUCAGUUUUCCAUCACCUCUCCUGCCUGGGGUACAGUGACCAUGGCACGGGAGGCCCUUGGUGGUUCCAGGGUAAAGAAAGACAGGCAAGGGUGGGUUGCAGAUGAAAAAAAAACGUUUGAUUUCCACUGUGAUUGAUGAGAAGCCUUCACAUCACCAAUUGUAUUUAUCUGAAACACUUCAAGCACUUACUCCUUUCUCAACUGGGAGUUGUCCAAACAACAACAACAACGACAAAAUGAAAAACAACAAAAGAAAACAUGAGUAAUGAAUAAAACCACAUGGGUGGGCUUAGCA